rnacentral:rRNA from 1 species
UACGUAGGGUGCAAGCGUUAAUCGGAAUUACUGGGCGUAAAGCGUGCGCAGGCGGUGAUGUAAGACAGAUGUGAAAUCCCCGGGCUCAACCUGGGAACUGCAUUUGUGACUGCAUCGCUGGAGUGCGGCAGAGGGGGAUGGAAUUCCGCGUGUAGCAGUGGAAUGCGUAGAGAUCGGGAAGAACACCCGUGGCGAAGGCGGCCGGCUGGGCCGGAUCCGACGCUGAGGCGCGAAAGCGUGGGGAGCAAACAGG